UACGUAGGGUGCGAGCGUUGUCCGGAAUUAUUGGGCGUAAAGAGCUCGUAGGCGGUCUGUCGCGUCGAUCGUGAAAACUUGGGGCUUAACCCUGAGCUUGCGGUCGAUACGGGCAUGACUGGAGUUCGGCAGGGGAGACUGGAAUUCCCGGUGUAGCGGUGAAAUGCGCAGAUAUCGGGAGGAACACCCGUAGCGAAGGCGGCACUCUGGGCCGGAACUGACGCUGAGGAGCGAAAGCGUGGGGAGCAAACAGG
rnacentral:rRNA from 1 species